GUUGUUACGAUCUGCUGAGGGUAAGCCGUCCUUCGCCUCGAUUUCCCCAAUGGGUUCUCCGGAUUUCUGGAGACUUGUAGGGGUUGUGGGAUUUUUGAUGUGUCGUCUCCGGACGGGCGGUGCAGGGUAGUCGAGUUAGACUUGGUGGAAUUCCGUCGAUAGGAGUUCCGUCGAGUCUGGUCGGCUGUGUGUUGGACGGUGCAGGGUAGGCUGCUUGGACAUGGUCGGUUCGAGGAUCGAUUCGAGGGCCGGCCUGUCGAUGAUGUGUGAUGUAUGCGGUCUAGGGUAGGCUGGUUUGUCUUGGUCCAAUUUGAUGUCGGCUCCCGUGCAGGCCAGAGUGAGGGGGGUCCAUGGUAGGUACAGGGUAGGCAGCUUAGAUUUGGUCGAUCUGGAGGUCGAUUCUCCGGCUGGCGGAUCUGACACUGUCGAAACGAGGUGCGAGCGGUGUAGGGUAGGCUAGUUUCGUCCUCGCCAGGUUGCGAUUCGGACGAGAUAUGUGGUCUAGGGUAGGCUCUAGGGUAAGUAGAACUCUAGUUUCGUCGCCGACAGUUUUCUUUGGGUGUAUGGUAGGUACAGGGUAGGCAAAUCUCUCUCCGGCCGGUACUUGUCUGGUGGUCGUGAGUCGAUUUUUUUGUUUUGCCAUACUAUUGAAUUUUGCGGAAAUUCAAAAGUGGCUCGGGAGUCCCGUCUGGCGUGCGUCCGACUCGAACAUCGUCGGUAUACAUAUGAGAGGGAGUAAUCCGGCCCGGCCGGGGCCCAUCGCGAGCUGCCGGGUAGGUAAAAGUAAAAAAGUUGUUAAGAGGCGCGGUGUCGGCGUGCUUGUAUUUGCGGGAGAGAAUUAUCUGGAGGUGCUGGGUAGCCGGGAAGACUUGGACGGAUCUGGCCCGGGAAUGGGUCUGGGCCUGGAUUCUGGUGUGGUGUAGGGUAGGCGUAGAUAGAUGAGUGGUCUAGGGUAGAUACAGGGUAGCCAGAAGUCUAGUAUAUAGUAUGGGGGUUGUAGGGUAGGUCUGGACACCGUUUUCCACUUCGCCCUUCCCUUUACUCGAGGGAGGACGAUCUUGGCUGGGACGGCGGUGUAGGGUAGGCUUAAUUAACGAUUACAUGAUCUGUGUCGCUCUAGGGUAGGUGAAAAUCCCAUAUAUAUCUGAUCACAUUUGGUGAAGAGGUGGUUUGGCUGGUGAGAUGGACAAAAGUGCAAUGUAGAAUGAUAUGUGAUUUUGCAAAAGUGGGUGUGAAAUUGGAAAGUCGGUUUUCCCGCACAGAUGAGAGCACGUUUGAGGUGCCAUGAGAUGCACCUCUCUGAGACGACCUCAACGGUGCCACCCAUGUGUUGGUCGGGCUCCUGUGCCGCCGUCCAGGGCGGGAUAAGUAGAGAAUGAGGUGGUGUAGGGUAGGUGGCCAGGUCCAGGGUAGGUUCGCCAAAUCCGUCAAUCCGGCUUGAAUGGAAGGACAGGUCUAGGGUAGGCCAGAGUCGGGUCUAGGGUAGGCAACUCUCACCCUCGAAGUGGUCUACCCGGUAGCCAACUUCAAUCGCCUCUCACGGCCGCCACGGAUCUCGUAUGACGACGGGACUACCACCAUCGGAUUCGCCUUGGUCGAAAUAGCUGGUAUAUGCACUUUUGAAAAAAUGCGUGCAAAAUGGUUUUGUGGUUUGGUGGUCGUGAGUCGAUUUUUUUGUUUUCCCAUACAAAUGAAUUUUGCGGAAAAUAAAAAGUGGCCCACGAGGCAGUCCUGGCGUGCGGCCCACUAAAACGGUCUCGGAGGGUAUAUGAGAAGGGAGCAAAUCCGGCCGAGCCUGAAAGGGUGAGGACAAACCGGGCGAGCAACCUCUCAGUAUCAGAUCUUGCAGACUUCCACUGCGUGUCCCUCUGUACAGCUUUGCAGGCUCCGGCCUCGGCAGCGGGGGGUUCAUAGUGGUCGUCGACCUCCACGAAACUGCACGCUCCGGCGUGACAGCGUACUGGGGAUGCCUGUGUAGAUGCAGUCCGGGCUUG
rnacentral:misc_RNA from 1 species